AAGACCAUGUCUGGGACAUGGCGUUGGCAAUGAGAUGAGAGGUUUCAUGUAAGGCCAUGUCUGGGACAUGGCGU
rnacentral:pre_miRNA from 1 species